AAGAGGGAGCGCGGUCAGGCUGGGCGCCCUGAGCCGCCCCGGCGAGGGUUGCAGGGGCUCGCCCAGCCCGCCGUGCCCCGACGGCGGCAGGAGCGGGGCGGGAGUUACCGAGGCAGCAGCAGAGGUACUGGUGUCCCUCAAGAACUCUUUGCUCUUGCUAUUUGCAGUGCCGGCGUGGAAACACACCGUGUUCUGUCCGUUCCAGCAAACCCUGCCGAGGCGGAAGAGCCUUAGCUGCUUUGCUAAAAUGGAAAAAUAGAAGCAUGCGAUGAGCUGCUGUAUCAAAGGUGAGGCUGGAUGCUGCAGGCUGCCUGGUGGUGCACUCCUAGUAAGGAAGAUUUUCUCCCUCCCCAAUUCUUGCUGGUUCUUUCUCACCCGUACUUAAACCUCCCAGUGAACCAGAUGUAAUGCUCCACUAGGUCCAGCAUGGAAGUAAGUAGCUGCUUUGGCCUCUGACUAAGCAGGCAGAAGAGCCAAGAGCUGGCGGUAGCUGCCUCCUUGCAGCACGUCGGCUCCCGCAGCCCAAGUGGUCAUGGCUCGCUCCUGCUGGGGAGACCCUGUGGAAUCAGCAAGCUGAAAUCUGCUGUCAUCUGAACUUUCAGUCCGGUGUUACUAGGACACUGCCUGGGGUUUGGAGCAGUCCUACCACGCACAGUGCCGCCCCAGCUGGAGUCAGCACAUCAGUACGAGAAUACCCUACUCACUUGGCUUCUUGUGCCUCCACCAGCAGUGUCCGAGCUUCCUCCCUUUUUCUGUUUCUCUUAUUUGCAUUCAGUUUGUA